AAUACGCAUAAUUACUAGAUCGUGAAUAGAAGAGAUAGAUAUU
rnacentral:misc_RNA from 1 species